ensembl:lncRNA
GGUUUUAUUUAAUUAGUUGUAUCAUUGUGAGUAAUAUCAUAUUUAAAUUUAAAAACAGAACAUUUACACCUUUCUGGUCACUAUGUCCUAUCCAUUUUAAUGGACUUCAGAGAAUUACAGACUUAUUAAAACUAUAAUCUAUAUAUUUCUUUAUAAUUAACUUUUCUUCUGUGUUUUGUAAAGCACUUUUUAACUCAAUUUUUAAAAGCGGUAAAUAAUAUCAUUAUUAUUAUUAUAUGGUUCAGUAAAGGUUCACUAUGCAAUCUUAUCAACCUCUUUCUUCUCAACCUCGGUCUUUAUGAUAGAAUACCACCAUCUAGUGGCAAAAUAAUUACUUAUUAUUGCUACUAUGACGUACAUUAGAAGCCAUAAGCUCUUUCAUUUCCUGCAGCUCUCACUUUGAGGACAAAACCUGUACGGGGUUAUCUGUGGAACUAUUGCUCAUCGUGAGAAAAUGGUGUAUCCGUCGGAUUAUUUUCCCCACUUUCAACCACGAGAUGGUGAAAACCUACACACUCAGGAGAGCGGUGAUGCAGGUCUUUCCUCUGACAUGGUGCACAAGUUCUGUUACAAGUAUGAGGAAAGUGGCCUGCCUGUAACUGACAUGGGGAGUUGUGUUAGGCCAAUUCCUCACAUGAAGCAGUUCCCCAUGAUGACAAAAAGCAAGCCACACCCAUACCCGCCUGAGUCAAGACCUACACCUAUGACAGAGGGAUUCUUAAUCAAGUCCAGUUUGGCUGGGAUGCAAAGUGGGCCGCAUAAUAACUUCAAUUCCCAGCCAUACACAGAUCAUGAAGAUAAUAGCAAGGGAGAGGAAGUAGUCAAGCCUUUACCCGGAACAUCAGCCAUUACAGAGGCACUCAUGGAAGAUGUAGGAAAUAAGGGUAACAUCAUGGAUGCCAACAGGGACGCCAAAGAAAACCCAGGAAGCGCCACACCAGUGGAAGAAGUGACAAACCAACACCGCUACAAGAAAAGAGCUGUUGGGAAAAAAUGGAAAGUUUACAAUCUCUGUGUGGUGGCAGUUCUAAUCAUAAACUUUCCUGUCUGUAAUGGAUCUUAUGAUGGGCCAAACUGUGUGGUCUGCAAGGAUCAGGACAAGUGCUCCAACCUCAAGACAAUAUAUGACCAUAAUGACCAUAAACUGUACCAGAGAGACGAUGGAGAGAAAGCUUUCCCAGAAUGCUCUCAAAUACCACCGCCUGUGCCUAAGACUCCUAAAAACUGCACAGUAUGCCAGUCCAAUUUUGUCUUCAUUAGCUGCUCAAACGACACUAAUGAAAUCCAACCAGAAGCAAAGGGAUCAUUCAUUCAAGACAUCCAUAAAACAUGCAUGGAGUAUAAGACUUCUGACCCGGUGCCCAGCAGAGGGACUUCCCAUUACAAUCUUGGCCGUGGACUUACUGGAUUGAUUUUUCUCUUUCUGAUUGCGAUUGGAGCACUGUGAUCUUCAGAGACUUUGGAUCUUCAACAUUUAUCACUCAGCAUGAAACAUCGUGCUGAAACAUCAUUUUUUUUUACUCAUAGCUACUUACUUUCUGUCUUAAAAUGUAUUCGAUUUUAACUGUAUUAGAUUUGCCACAGCAAAAUGGCUAAAUAGGAUCUGUUUUAUUGCAUAUGCUUAAGCCCAAAGAAGUCAGCCUUUUUUUUAGAAAAACAAUUUCCAUAAUAACUGGUUAUUUUUCUGUAAAUCAGCUUCAUACUUAUUUGGCUUAUUAGACUUCAGCUUUACUUGACAGCAAAUAAUUAUGUUUGAAACACAUCUACAUAUCUGGCCUUAAUUAAAAACACAUCUGCAUAUCAAGCUGCAUAUGGUUCGUGUUCUUUUUCAUAACAGACACUGGAACAUAAUAUAAUGUGCUCAGUUAAUAAUCAGAAGAGUUUACAUCAUGGGAAAUCCCUCAGCUGCUGGGGCUUGGAGGAUCAGUGCUGCCAUUUCACUGUGACAUUUGUAGUGUAUUUUGUUCCCAUACCUAUAUUUUUGCUUAAAAAACUUUUAAUGGACAGUUAUAUGAAAUGUCAUUUUUUGUCAGAACGCCGUAAAGACAAACAUCUUCAAUUUAUGGUCUCUUUCAGUUAAACCUGGUAAACCAAAUUUUAAGAUUCCCACGGUCUGAUAAGACUUUAGUCUUAUUAUAUGUAUAGAAGCUAUCUGAUCCACAAGCAAAACCUGGGCUGUGAAAGUGAAGUGUGGAAAAACAGGGAACAAUGAAGUCAAGAUAAGAGUUGAUUAGCCUUCAAAAUGAAGUCACUUCUAAGCAGUCACUUCUGACAUUUAUAGGUCUAUUCCCAAGCAG